GCACAUACGAGUUGUGUUUAAAUAGAGCUUUGCUCGUGAACCAAAUCUGGUCGACUGGGCCAACUGAGCGGAAAUGCUUGGUUGGUUUGUUGACGAAUUGCAAUAAUCAUAUGGGCGGGGGUGAAUCCUUUGCAGACGACUUGAAUGGGAACGGGGUACUGUAAGCAGUAGAGUAGCCUUGUUGCUACGAUCUGCUGAGGUUAAGCCCUUGUUCUAUAGAUUUGUUCAACAACAGUUGAACUCUUCUCUUUUCUUUUACCACCUUCGGACUUCAGGGCAGGUCCAGUAGGACUUGUGCUCUGGUUCGGGGAUGUCACCGGGAAGAGCGUUGAAAAUGGUGAGUGUUGACCGGCUUUGUCUGGAUGAUGACUAUCAUUCUCUUCCCCGUCUUAUACGACCAUGCUGAGGGAUUAGAGAGACUUGUUUCGCAAACAAGCUCGCGCUUCAAUGCGCAAAAGGUACUUGCCAGUGCCACUUAGUCUGACUUCUAUUCAUCGAUGUCGCAUUGAAUGCCACUACAAGUUUGAUGCUGACCGGACUAUUACAGGACUUGAAGUGCACACUUUUCAACGCCAUCCAUUAUAGUGGUUUUGGAUAAUGUGAGUAGAGCGGUAUUCAACUUGUCUUCUUAUACGAUGAAAUAUCACCGUACAUUCGCAGUUUUCGCCAAAGUGCCCUCCCGUUAAGGGAGUACUCCUCCAAUACCGAACACUCAUAUUCCCCCUCUAAUGCCGUGUUGAACCCAAUCACACGACAGAGCGUGGGCCGCCCUUUGCGGUGCGCUGAGUGGGAGGUGGGGGUCGGCACAAUGAGGGUUUGAAUGACCUUCCUUUGGAUGUCUGAUCCUUUUUGAAUCACAACUAUUGAGCCAUUUACUGACCCUUUCUUUCUCAGUUUACCCGCUUUAUCAAGACUUUGUAGUGUACUGUAGCUCGCGUAUUAUAUAGUUAAGUACAGUAAAAGUACGUAGUUUAGGGCAGG
rnacentral:misc_RNA from 1 species